GUGGGGAAUAUUGCACAAUGGGCGCAAGCCUGAUGCAGCAACGCCGCGUGAGGGACGACGGCCUUCGGGUUGUAAACCUCUUUUAGCAGGGAAGAAGCGAAAGUGACGGUACCUGCAGAAAAAGCACCGGCUAACUACGUGCCAGCAGCCGCGGUAAUACGUAGGGUGCAAGCGUUGUCCGGAAUUAUUGGGCGUAAAGAGCUCGUAGGCGGUUUGUCGCGUCUGCUGUGAAAACCCGAGGCUCAACCUCGGGCCUGCAGUGGGUACGGGCAGACUAGAGUGCGGUAGGGGAGAUUGGAAUUCCUGGUGUAGCGGUGGAAUGCGCAGAUAUCAGGAGGAACACCGAUGGCGAAGGCAGAUCUCUGGGCCGUAACUGACGCUGAGGAGCGAAAGCGUGGGGAGCGAACAGGAUUAGAUACCCUUGUAGUCC
rnacentral:rRNA from 2 species